GCAUGAGUUUGGGUAUAUGGCAGACGCAUCCCCAUGGGUCUGUCACAGUGCCCCAUGCCAGAGCAAACUGUGGCCUGGAACCAUUACUGGCCUCUGCCAGUAGGCUGCAGGCGCUGAAGCAGUUUACAUGGUA